UGAAAACUGCACAAAAUUGACCACAUUGGAAGAGCUCGUCCGUCUUUUGAAGGAAGAGGUUGUCGGAAUCCAACAUCACCACCCUAUCGUAGUCUAUCAAGCUCCAUGCGUAUAGUUUGUUCAAUGUUAGCUUGAACCUUCUAUCGAAGUUCGAUUGGUUUCUAUAUGGGUUGUUUACAUUAUCUACGCUCACUACUUUUGCUCCAUCCUCGUCUUCCAGAGCACGAACCCAACGGACGGGCACAUCGCGUGAAGCAAUGACGACGAGAUCAGCUUCGACGUUCAGCUUCGCAAGCGAUCUAAUCAACACUCUCGUCGCUACAUAGAACUCAUAAUCCCUAGGCGUUCCCAUGUACAUCAUCGAUGCAUAAGCGUUUCUAUGUUUCGUCGUCUUCGUAUACUCCGCCGCCGAUUCUUCAACCGCCACCGUCACAAGCACCACCACCAA
rnacentral:misc_RNA from 1 species